rnacentral:snRNA from 1 species
GGAUGUGAGGCUGAUCUGGCUGCAACAUCUGUCACCCCAUUGACCACCAGGGUUGAUUCGGCUGAUUUGGCUGGCUAUGCGGGUGUCCCCUUCCUCCCCUCACCACUCCACGUCUGUCCCUUCUGAUGCUGCUGCACACUCUGUCAAAGAGGACGGCCUUCCCCAAAUAGAGACUAACUGGUCUUACGAGUAGCUGCUCUCCCCUGCUAGAACCUCCAAACAGGCUUUCACAUAAAGUGAAAAAAAAGUACAGUGCCCAGCACACAAAAACUAGCAGGGCUAAGAAGCAUCGGACACAUUCACCUUCACUGAUGAUGACAAGAGCUUCACCAGACUGAGGU